UACGUAGGGCGCAAGCGUUGUCCGGAAUUAUUGGGCGUAAAGAGCUCGUAGGCGGUUUGUCGCGUCUGCUGUGAAAACUCGGGGCUUAACCCCGGGCCUGCAGUGGGUACGGGCAGACUAGAGUGCGGUAGGGGAGACUGGAAUUCCUGGUGUAGCGGUGAAAUGCGCAGAUAUCAGGAAGAACACCAAUGGCGAAAGCAGCUCUCUGGGACGGUACUGACGCUGAGACGCGAAAGCGUGGGGAGCGAACAGG
rnacentral:rRNA from 1 species